rfam:Danio rerio chromosome 5, GRCz11 reference primary assembly.
AUUCACAGCCAUAUCACCCAGCAGGCCAAGAUUGGUUAUUCACUGAAGCCAAGCAGGGCUAAGCCUGGUCAGUACCUGGAUGGCAGACCACAUUGGAACACUAGGUUGCUGUUGGAA